AUUGAACGCUGGCGGCAUGCCUAACACAUGCAAGUCGAACGGCAGCACGGCAGUAGCAAUACUGUGGGUGGCGAGUGGCGGACGGGUGAGGAAUACGUCGGAAUCUGCCCAGUCGUGGGGGAUAACUAGCCGAAAGGUUAGCUAAUACCGCAUACGACCGAGAGGUGAAAGCGGGGGACCGCAAGGCCUCGCGCGAUUGGAUGAGCCGACGUCGGAUUAGCUAGUUGGUGGGGUAAAGGCCCACCAAGGCGACGAUCCGUAGCUGGUCUGAGAGGAUGAUCAGCCACACUGGAACUGAGACACGGUCCAGACUCCUACGGGAGGCAGCAGUGGGGAAUAUUGGACAAUGGGCGCAAGCCUGAUCCAGCAAUGCCGCGUGUGUGAAGAAGGCCUUCGGGUUGUAAGCACUUCUAGCCGGGAAGAAACGAC
rnacentral:rRNA from 1 species